rnacentral:piRNA from 1 species
UGCUCUCGAACAGAGUCCCAAGUAUGUGU